GAUGAACGCCAGCGGCAGGCCUAAUACAUGCAAGUCGGACGGGAUUGGGGAGCUUGCUCCCCAUGAGAGUGGCGCACGGGUGCGUAACACGUAUGUAACCUCCCCUUGUCAGGGGGAUAGCCUCUCGAAAGAGAGAUUAACACCGCAUAACAUUAUUGGAUGGCAUCAUUUAAUAAUCAAAUAUUUAUAGGACAAGGAUGGGAAUGCGGGUCACUAGCUAGUUGGUGGGGUAACGGCUUACCAAGGCUACAAUGUCAAGGGGAUCUGAGAGGAUGGCCCCGCACACUGGGACGGAGACACGGACCAGACUCCUACGGGAGGCAGCAGUAGGGAAUAUUGGUCAAUGGGCGCAAGCCUGAACCAGCCAUGCCGCGUGCAGGAAGACGGCCCUACGGGUUGUAAACUGCUUUUGCGCCGGAAUAAACCCUUUUACGAGUAAGAGGCUGAAUGUACGGCGAGAAUAAGGAUCGGCUAACUCCGUGCCAGCAGCCGCAGUAA
rnacentral:rRNA from 1 species